UAACGCCGAAGGAAUAUUCCGUUAAGAAAAUGACGGCCAAGACACUUUCCCGCCAAGAAAAUAACGCCACAAAACCUAACGACUGUGACGGAGAUUCCAAACGUCCCUUGUCUCACCCGGAUUUUGACAGUCGAAGACGACGCCGGCGACGGGGAAUCUGUUCCCAGAUCCGGUACAGAAGCUUCCCAACUUCCGAUCUCCACCAGCCACCGAACCCUCAGAGACAUCUCUUUUUCCUCCUUACAAACCCUUCAUGGCGGUCCAAGUCCAGCUUUGUUAACUCACCACAUCUUCAAGUCCUGAUUAGGGUUUUCUUCCCCUUCUACGCGCCGAAUCUGCAACAGCGAUAAUUUACCUAAUUCCGGGAAAUCGAAGAUGAUGGAGCCGGGGGUUUCGAUCUGCAGCACCUGCGGCGAUCAAAUCGGUCUCGGAGCCAACUGGAGACUUGUUCAUCGGGUCCAACAAGCGUAAUUUACCGAUCUGCGAGGCUUGUCUCGAGUACGAGACCAAAGAAGGUCGGAAAAUCUGCCUGCGCUGUGGUAAUCCCUACGACGAGAACUUGUUGGAUGAUGCUGAAACAAGGAAGGACCUCGAGUCACCCCGGAAAACGCUCCUCUGAAAAUGCUAUAAAUGGUUCUAUAUCGCCAUGUGAGGGUCGCAAGUUUGAUCUUAAAUCUUCUCCGGCCACAGGGAUGCUGAAAUUCUUACUUGACAUAUAAGCACAGUCUCCGCAGUUGGCAGUGGUAAGAACCCCAAUUCUCUCUUGUUCAUUUUCUCGGAUAAUUUAGGGACUGCAACCAUUUUAUCAUGGAGAUCAGAAGAUAGAUGCCCGAAUAUUGAUGGCAGCAAAAGAGGUUUUGCUGAAGAGGUUUAGACUAUACAGACUAGGGGAUGCAUAUGCGUGAAGAAUUGAAUGGUGGAUAUGGAAGAACAGGGUAGAGAGCCCGAAGGACAAGAAAAGCUAUAAGAAGAAGAAGAAGAAGGACAAAAAGCAAAAUGAUGGUGAGAAUGAGGCUCAGAUUCUGAUGUUUGAUCAGAAUCACGGCUUAGUUUCCAAGGCCUAGAAAACACUUGAAGAAGGAUGGAACCCCGAGGCUAGGAAACAAUGCCCGGGAUGAUUCAGGUUAACACGAAGGGGCUUGAUGGGAUUCAAGAGCCUGUCCAAUACACAAGAACUUUAUGGUUAAACAGUCCUCCAUCUAAACCUAGAAGUUAACCGGAUUCUUCCUCUUCUUGAUCAUAUGCUGAUGCCCGAUAAAAGAAGAAGCAGACCAGAGAUCCUUUUGAGGUUUAUAGAGAUGCAAAGCGAGAAGAACUCGAUGUUGUCAUCUUAAACCUCAGAGAUCUUGACAGUGAGUUGAUUUUUCUAAAUAUUUGGAGCAUUGCUAUGGUUUGAUCUUGAAGCAAAAGGUUUCCCUACGUGAGCCUCUUCUUUCUCCUAUUAUUGCUUCUUGCUUCUUGGGGACUCUCACAUGGCUGCUUUUUCCACAAGUUAAUGUUUUCGUGUUUAUAUAAUAUGAUUGAAUUCUUUCAUUGAAGAAACGGAAUGAUAUCAUUUGUUACCUCGGGGUUUCA